AUCUAUAGCCAUGCCACCUUAAACGUGUCCAAUUUCAUCGGAUCUUGGAAGCUAAGCAGGGUCAGAGCUGGUUAGUAUUUGGACUGAAGAAAUGAUCUUUGGAGAUU
ensembl:rRNA 5S_rRNA 5S ribosomal RNA